rnacentral:rRNA from 1 species
UACAGAGGGUGCAAGCGUUGUACGGAAUUAUUGGGCGUAAAGCGCGUGUAGGCGGCUUUGCAAGUCGGGUGUGAAAGCCCCCAGCUUAACUGAGGAAGUGCGCCCGAAACUGCAGAGCUUGAAUACCGGAGAGGAUGGCGGAAUUCCCCAAGUAGAGGUGAAAUUCGUAGAUAUGGGGAGGAACACCGGUGGCGAAGGCGGCCAUCUGGACGGCUAUUGACGCUGAGACGCGAAAGCGUGGGGAGCAAACAGG